GACGAACCGUGCGAACGUUAUUCGGAAUCACUGGGCUUAAAGCGCGUGUAGGCGGGCCGCCGCGUCGAACGCUGAAAUCCCCCGGCUCAACCGGGGAACCGGCGUCGAUACGGGCGGCCUCGAGGGGGGUAGGGGGGCCUGGAACGUUCCGGUGGAGCGGUGAAAUGCGUUGAGAUCGGAAGGAACGCCCGUGGCGAAAGCGAGGCCCUGGACCCUUUCUGACGCUGAGACGCGAAAGCCAGGGGAGCGAACGGG
rnacentral:rRNA from 1 species